CAAAAUGUGGUUCAGUAGUUAUGCCUUCAAAUUAAGUUGCUUCUCGGUCCUCAUCGGGAAAAGCAGACAUGUGUCCUCAAUUGUAUAGUAUAUAUAUAUAUAAAAAAUCUACUAGGUACUUUAUGAUUCCAUCUGGAGAAAUUAAAAGCCCAGAGCUGUAAUGUUUAUUCUUACAUAGUUUACAAAAAAAGGGGGAAAUGUGUGAGACACAUGUCUCCAAAUAUAACCAAAGUGCUUUCCCUUCUGGUUAAAAAGUUGCAUGCAAAUGUUUUCAUUUUAACACUCCCUGCCACCUGUACUUCUCAGGGAAACUUUUCUUGGCGUUAGUGACGAAGCACCAAUAGUACUUAUUAAUGAAUUAAUUAUUAUUAUGGCUGCUGAAUUGACUUAAAGUGCUUUGGAGGCGAAACUGAUCCAUGUUAAUCAGUUACAAUUAAUUGUGUUUCAGCUGCUGUGUCAAGCAGUUUCAAAGACGAAGGCGAGACGGCUGUGCAUGGGGUGUAGGGAAGGGGGUGGUCCGGAGACUCUUCCCGGCCCCUUGCUCAGAGAUGUCCUCUUGGAUUGCAGAAACCGGCGUAAUGUUGUCCCGGUGCCCGCGUCAGGUCACACAAAGGAGAUUGGGACAAUAGCUGGAGUGGAUUUUUCAUUCCUGUAGGGCAAUACUUCCCUGUAUGGGCUUCAGGAUGCAGUUGGAAGCUUGGGAACAAAGCGGGCAUCGAAUGUCAAGGUAACUGGUCCCCUUCCUUUGUUUAUGCUAUUGUUAAUGACGGGGCUCACUCAGCCCUGGCCUCAGCCGUGCUGUAUGGCAUUAAUAUUGACUUGAGAGAAUAGGCAGGGCAAUUAAAACCCAAACCCAGAACAACAGCAGCAUCCAGCCCAAGCCCAGUUCUGCAGGUAAAACAUGCCUCUUCUGGGCCUCUGAGAAUGAUAUAGUAGUCUUGCCUGGUAUUCACAGAAACACACACACCGUUCAUAAAAUUAAACACAUCCCUAUACAGCAUUAACACGUAGGGGAGACACCUUAACCCUGUCCUUCAGUACCAAAUCAAAAGGGAAAGGGCACUAUUUUCAAAUACCCACUUAUUAGCAUGAGGGAAUUCUCAUCGGGAUAAAAAAAUCAAAGGAACUAAUAAAAAUAUAAUUUUAAUUAUGAAAAUCUAAAAC
rnacentral:lncRNA from 1 species